GACGAACCGUCCAAACGUUGUUCGGAAUCACUGGGCUUAAAGGGCGCGUAGGCGGGCUGCCAAGUCCGGGGUGAAAUCCUCCAGCUUAACUGGAGAACUGCCUCGGAUACUGGAAGUCUCGAGGAGGGUAGGGGCACGCGGAACUGUGGGUGGAGCGGUGAAAUGCGUUGAUAUCCAUAGGAACUCCGGUGGCGAAGGCGGCGUGCUGGACCCUUCUGACGCUGAGGCGCGAAAGCCAGGGGAGCAAACGGGAUUAGAAACCCGUAGUAGCUCGACGA
rnacentral:rRNA from 1 species